rnacentral:rRNA from 1 species
UACGUAGGGAGCGAGCGUUGUCCGAAUUUACUGGGCGUAAAGCGCGCGUAGGCGGGCUAAUAAGUUGUGGGUGAAAUGCCGAGGCUCAACCUCGGCGCUGCCUGCAAGACUGUUGGUCUUGAGGUAUGGAGGGGAAAGUGGAAUUCCUGGUGUAGCGGUGAAAUGCGUAGAUAUCAGGAGGAACACCGAUGGCGAAGGCAGCUUUCUGGCCAUAUCCUGACGCUGAGGUGCGAAAGCUAGGGGAGCGAACGGGAUUAGAUACCCCGGUAGUCCUAGCCGUAAACGAUGGAUACUAGGUGUUAGAGGUAUCGACCCCUCUAGUGCCGUAGCUAACGCAUUAAGUAUCCCGCCUGGGGAGUACGGUCGCAAGACUG